GAAAUUAUAUAAAGUGUGUUUUAAGCAAGAUAAAUUUAUUAUUUUUAUUUUUAAAUCAUUACUAAUUGAUAAAGAAUGUUUAAUUAGUUUUUUUUAGUAUUCGAGUGCAUUGUACAGAUACGAAUCUAUAUCAUAUACCUUUUCCAGUUAGUCUACUACAAGUAAUCCACACAGUGCGGCAAAACACUAUUAAAAUAAAAAUUUAUAAAUAAUAAAAUAUCAAUAAAGUUAAAGUAAAAUAUUAGCAAAGAAUAAAAUAUCAGGUUAACAAUGAGUGUGAAGAAGUAUAGCUAAAAAUGAUUAACAUAAAUUAUUUAAAUCGACAAACAAUAUGAAAUGAAAACAGCAGCGAAUAAAAGGUAAAUAGAAGUGAAGGUAGGAAUUACCUACAACAAUAUUUCUAGAAUUUACUUUUCAGAUUACUAAGGGGCUGUUUGGUUCACCGUAAAACCGUGUGUUAGGGCCAAUAAUAAAAUGCCAAGUGGCAUAUUGGUGCACAGUUCAGCCAGGACCUUUGGAGAUCAAGAUUAAACAGGUUUCAUGGUGCGCCUAGGAGUUAUGGCGGAUUAAUAGCAUAACUGCAAGCGGUUAUGUGCAGUUUUCAUCGGCUUGUAGUGGCCCGCAAAAAUAGGAAACUUUGCCGAUCAUGAAGCAAUAACUGAACAGAAAGGGCGGACUAUAAAUAGGCAAAACACGCCCAAAAAGGGGGUCUUUUCUCCCAGAACAGAAGACCACUUUUAUUUUCUCUGCAUUUUCUUCGUAUUUCUAUGAGUAGUCUAAUUGUAAUCUUUUUCUUUCCCGCAUCUACUGUUUUCCUUAUGAGUAGUACUAAGUUAGAUUACUGGAGUCUGUAUGCCUUAAAGGCACACUCGCUUUUGUACAAGUUUUCAGACUUAAUUACAGUAUAUAAAGGCAUUCGGCUCUUUUAGCCGACCGAAAUUACUGUGCAUUUCAGUCAUUCGGCUCAUUCAACCGAACCCGUUCUGCAGUAAAGAUUUUCGGACUCGGCUGAUAUGAUCCCUCAUCAGCCGAAUCUCUUGAUCCGUCGUAGGGCG
rnacentral:lncRNA from 1 species